rnacentral:rRNA from 1 species
GACGAACGCUGGCGGCGUGCUUAACACAUGCAAGUCGAACGAAGUGGCGCACGGGUGAGUAACGCGUAAUCACCCUGCCCUUCAGAGGGGGACAACAGUUGAAAACGACUGCUAAUACCGCAUACUGAAGGAGGGGAUUGCGUCUGAUUAGCUAGUUGUGGGGGUAACGGCCCACCAAGGCGAUGAUCAGUAGCCGGUCUGGGGGGGUGAACGGCCACAUUUGGAACGAGACACGGCCCAGACUCCUACGGGAGGCAGCAGUGGGGAAUUUUCCGCAAUGGACGAAAGGCGGACGGAGCAACGCCGGGGGAGUGAUGACGGCCUUCGGGUUGUAAAGCUCUGUUAAUCGGGACGCGGUACCGGAAUAGAAAGCCACGGCUAACUACGUGCCAGCAGCCGCGGUAAUAC